rnacentral:lncRNA from 1 species
ACCCCCACUCCUACCUGCCAGAGAACAAACCCCCUUUGACUGUAAUUUUCCUUUACCUACCCAAAUCCUAUAAAACGGCCCCACCCUUAUCUCCCUUCGCUGACUCUCUUUUCGGACUCAGCCCGCCUGCACCCAGGUGAAAUAAACAGCCAUGUUGCUCACACAAAGCCUGUUUGGUGGUCUCUUCACAUGGACGCACAUGAAAUUUGGUGCCGUGACUCGGAUCGGGGGACCUCCCUUGGGAGAUCAAGCCCCUGUACUCCUGUUCUUUGCUCCGUGAGAAAGAUCCACCUAUGACCUCAGGUCCUCAGACCGACCAGCCCAAGGAACAUCUCACCAAUUUUAAAUCAGGUAAGCGGCCUCUUCUUACUCUCUUCUCCAACCUCUCUCACUGUCCCUCAACCACUUUCUCCUUUCCACUCUUCAAUCUCUCCCUUCUCUUAAUUUCAAUUCCUUUCAUUUUCUGGUAGAGACAAAAGAGACAUGUUUUAUCCGUGAACCCAAAACUCCGGCGCCGGUCACGGACUGGGAAGGCAGCCUUCCCUUGGUGUUUAAUCAUUGCAGGGACGCCUCUCUGAUGAUACACUCACGUUUCAAGGGUGUCAGACCAUGCAGGAACGCCUGCCUUGGUCUUUCACCCUUAGCGGCAAGUCCCGCUUUCCUGGGGCAGGGGCAAGUACCCCUCAACCCCUUCUCCUUCACCCUUAGCGGCAAGUCCCGCUUUCCUGGGGCAGGGGCAAGUACCCCUCAACCCCUUCUCCUUCACCCUUAGCGGCAAGUCCCGCUUUCCUAGGGGGCAAGAACCCCCAAUCGCUUAUUUCCGCACCCCAACCUCUUAUCUCUGUGCCCCAAUUGCUUAUUUCCGCACCCCAACCUCUUAUCUCUGCACCCCAAUCACUUAUUUCUGCACCCCAACCUCUUAUCUCUGCGCCCCAAUCACUUAUUUCCGCACCCCAACCUCUUAUCUCUGCACCCCAAUCCCUUAUUUCCACACCCUGACCUCUUAUCUCUGUGCCCCAAUCCCUUAUUUCCGUGUCCCAACCCUUUCUCUGCUUUUCUGGAGGGGAAGAAACCCCCACCCCUUCUCCGUGUCUCUACUCUUUUCUCUGGGCUUGCCUCCUUCACUAUGGGCAAGCUUCCACCUUCCAUUCCUCUUUCUUCUCCCUUAGCCUGUAUUCUUAAGAACUUAAAACCUCUUCAAUUCUCACCUGACCUAAAAUCUAAGCGUCUUAUUUCUUCUGCAAUGCCGCUUGACCCCAAUACAAACUCAACAGUGGUUCCAAAUAGCCAGAAAACGGCACUUUCAAUUUUUCCAUCCUACAAGAUCUAAAUAAUUCUUGUAAAAUGGGCAAAUGGUCUGAGGUGCCUGACGUCCAGGCAUUCUUUUACACAUCAGUCCCUUCCUAGUCUCUGUGCCCAGUGCAACUCGUCCCAAAUCUUCCUUCUUUCCCUCCCGCCUGUCCCCUCAGUACCAACCUCAAGCGUCACUGAGUCUUUCUAAUCUUCCUUUUCUACAGACCCAUCUGACCUCUCCCCUCCUCGACAGGCCUAGCUAGGUCCCAAUUCUUCCACAGCCUCCGCUCCUCCACCCUAUAAUCUUUUUAUCGCCUCCCCUCCUCACACCGGGUCUGGCUUACAGUUUCAUUCCGUGACUAGCCCUCCCCCACCUGCCAGCAAUUUAUUCUUAAAAAGGUGGCUGGAGCUAAAGGCAGAGUCAAGGUUAAUGCUCCUUUUUCUUUAUCCCAAAUCAGAUAGCGUUUAGGCUCUUUUUCAUCAAAUAUAAAAAUCCAGCCCAGUUCAUGGCUCGUUCGGCAGCAACCCUGAGACACUUUACAGCCCUAGACCCUAAAAGGUCAAAAGGCCGUCUUAUUCUCAAUACACAUUUUAUUACCCAAUCUGCUCCCGACAUUAAAUAAAACUCCAAAAACUGGAAUCUGGCCCUCAAACCCCACAACAGGACUUAAUUAACCUCACCUUCAAGGUGUGCAAUAACAGAAAAAAGUUGCAAUUCCUUGCCUCCACUGUGAGACAAACCCCAGCCACAUCUCCAGCACACAAGAACUUCCAAACGCCUGAACUGUAGCAGCCAGGCGUUCCUCCAGCAGCCAGCAAGUUCCUCCCCAAGGAGCUUGCUACACAUGCCGGAAAUCUGGCCACUGGGCCAAGGAAUGCCCGCAGCCUGGGAUUCCUCCUAAGCCACGUCCCAUCUGUGUGGGACCCCACUGAAAAUCGGACUGUUCAACUCACCUGGCAGCCACUCCCAGAGCCCCUGGAACUCUGGCCCAAGGCUCUCUGACUGACUCCUUCCCAGAUCUUCUCGGCUUAGCUGCUGAAGACUGACGCUGCCCGAUCGCCUCGGAAGCCCCCUAGACCAUCACGGACGCCGAGCUUCGGGUAACUCUCACAGUGGAAGGUAAACCCGUCCCCUUCUUAAUCAAUACGGAGGCUCCCCACUCCACAUUACCUUCUUUUCAAGGGCCUGUUUCCCUUGCCUCCAUAACUGUUGUGGGUAUUGACGGCCAGGCUUCUAAACCUCUUAAAACUCCCCAACUCUGGUGCCAACUUAGACAAUACUCUUUUAAGCACUCCUUUUUAGUUAUCCCCACCUGCCCAGCUCCCUUAUUAGGCUGAGACACUUUAACUAAAUUAUCUGCUUCCCUGACUAUUCCUGGACUACGGCUAUAUCUCAUUGCCACCCUUCUUCCCAAUCCAAAGCCUCCUUUGCGUCCUCCUCUUGUAUCCCCCGACCUUAACCCACAAGUAUAAGAUACCUCUACUCCCUCCUUGGUGACCGAUCAUGCACCCCUUACCAUCUCAUUAAAACCUAAGCACCCUUACCCCACUCAAUGCCAAUAUACCAUCCCGCAGCACACUUUAAAAAGAUUAAAGCCUGUUAUAACUCGCCUGCUACAGCAUGGCCUUUUAAAGCCUAUAAAUUCUCCUUACAAUUCCCCCAUUUUACCUGUCCUAAAACCAGACAAGCCUUACAAGUUAGUUCAGGAUCUGCGCCUUAUCAACCAAAUUGUUUUGCCUAUCCACCCAGUGGUGUCAAACCCAUAAACUCUCCUAUCCUCAGUACCUCCCUCUACUACCCAUUAUUCUGUUCUGGAUCUCAAAUAUGCUUUCUUUACUAUUCCUUUGCACCCUUAAUCCCAGCCUCUCUUUGCUUUCACUUGGACUGACCCUGACACCCAUCAAGUUCAGCAAAUUACCUAGGCUGUACUGCCGCAAAGCUUCACAGACAGCCCCCAUUACAUCAGUCAAGCCCAAAUUUCUUCCUCAACUGUUACCUAUCUCGGCAUAAUUCUCAUAAAAACACAUGUGCUCUCCCUGCCAAUCGUGUCCGACUGAUCUCUCAAACCCAAGCAUUUUCUACAAAACAACAACUCCUUUCCUUCCUAGGCAUGGUUAGCGUGUUCAGAAUUCUUACACAAGAGCCAGGACCACACCCUGUAGCCUUUCUGUCCAAACAACUUGACCUUACUGUUUUAGCCUAGCCCUCACGUCUGCAUGCAGCAGCUGCCGCUGAUUUAAUACUUUUAGAGGCCCUCAAAAUCACAAACUAUGCUCAACUCACUCUCUACAGUUCUCAUAACUUCCAAAAUCUAUUUUCUUCCUCAUACCUAACGCAUAUACUUUCUGCUCCCCGGCUCCUUCAGCUGUACUCACUCUUUGUUGAGUCUCCCACAAUUACCGUUGUUCCUGGCCCAGACUUCAAUCCGGCCUCCCACAUUAUUCCUGAUACCACACCUGACCCCCAUGACUGUAUCUCUCUGAUCCACCUGAUAUUCACCCCAUUUCCCCACAUUUCCUUCUUUCCUGUUCCUCACCCUGAUCACACUUGAUUUAUUGAUGGCAGUUCCACCAGGUCGGAAGAGC